UGGGUGACCUGCCCUCAGCUCUGAGAUAAGCCCGAGAAAUUGGGUCUAAUACCGGAUAUGACCUUUCCUCGCAUGGGGUUUGGUGGAAAGUUUUUUCGGCUGGGGAUGGGCCCGCGGCCUAUCAGCUUGUUGGUGGGGUGAUGGCCUACCAAGGCGACGACGGGUAGCCGGCCUGAGAGGGCGACCGGCCACACUGGGACUGAGACACGGCCCAGACUCCUACGGGAG
rnacentral:rRNA from 1 species